GUCUUUUUGAAUUAAAUUUAAAGUCUAACCUGCCCACUGAAAAUUUUAAAUGGCCGCAGUAUUCUAACUGUGCAAAGGUAGCAUAAUCAUUAGUCUUUUAAUUGAAGGCUGGAAUGAAUGGUUGGACGAAAUAUUAACUGUUUCAUUUAAAUUUUUUAUAGAAUUUUAUUUUUUAGUCAAAAAGCUAAAAUAAAUUUAAAAGACGAGAAGACCCUAUAAAUCUUUAUAUUUUGUUUAUUUUAAUUAUAAAGAUUAUUUUUAUUAUAAUAAAUUAAAAUAUUUUAUUGGGGUGAUAUUAAAAUUUAAAAAACUUUUAAUUUAAAAAACCAUUAAUUUAUGUAUAAUUGAUCCAUUAAUAAUGAUUAAAAAUUUAAGUUACUUUAGGGAUAACAGCGUAAUUUUUUUGGAGAGUUCAUAUCGAUAAAAAAGAUUGCGACCUCGAUGUUGGAUUAAGAUAUAAUUUUGGGUGUAGCCGUUCAAAUUUUAAGUCUGUUCGACUUUUAAAUUCUU
rnacentral:rRNA from 1 species